rnacentral:rRNA from 1 species
GUCUGGUGGUGAUGGCGGAGAGGUUCCACCCGUUCCCAUGCCGAACACGGAAGUUAAGCUCUCCAGCGCCGAUGAUAAUGAAGGGGGCAACCCUUUGUGAAAGUAGGACACUGCCAGGC